GUACUAUGGGACUUUGAUCAUCAAGACUCAUGUCCUAGGAUGUUGACUUUCAUUGCACGUUGAAAGGGUAUUGAUUUAAGAUCCGCUCAUGUAGUAUAGCCUACGUUAUAAUUUCCGACAACGGGGGCCUAGGUUCGUGCGGCCCCUUC
rnacentral:snRNA from 10 species